rnacentral:rRNA from 1 species
GGCGAAGAAUCUUUUGAAUACUCUCGGCACGAUGAAGACCGUGGUAGAUCUCGAUGAGCUGGAGGAAGGCA